AGUCAUUUGUUCAGAUUCAAGAUCUGCAUUAUUAAGUAUAAAAUAUAAUCAAUCAGAUAGCAGGAUGGACAUUUUAUUAGAAAUAGUUCAUACAUUAUUCAGAAUACAAAAUAUGGGUUUGAUAGUUACAUUUCUGUUGGUUCCAGCACAUAUUGGAGUAGAAGGAAAUGAAAGGGCAGAUAAAAUGGCAAAGACGGCGAUUCAGUAUCCUAUUAGUUUUACAGUUAAAACAAGUAAAUCUGAGGGAAAGAAUUUUAUUAAAGAGAAACUGUUGGAAAAA